rnacentral:rRNA from 1 species
ACCAGCAGCUGUAUCACCCUGCAGCCCCACUGGAGCUCAGCAGGUGUGAGCCUGGUCAGUACCUGGAGGGGAGACCUCCUGGGAAAAACUAAGGUUGCUGCUGGAA